GUAUAGUAUUUUUUCUUGAUUUGUAUUUUAUUAUGACAAUAUAAUUCCUUCAACAUGUUCAACAUGUAGAUACUAUUCAGAUUGGACAUUGUAGUACUUUUCAAUGUCAGCAUGUGGAAAGUCACCCCAUAUGCAUUUCUCUCCGAAAUCAAUACAUAUUGACUUUAAACAGGCCAUGCACAAUGCUGUAAGCGUAUAAAUAUGAAUAUAACCAUCUCAGUUCUUAGAUGUUAAACCAUAGCCAGAUCAGAGCCACACACAUAAUAGAAAGAAAAAAGAAAAAAAAAAGGCAUAACAAUUAUAUCUAUUAAUAACUUUGUAGCCCAUAUUAAGGACCCC
rnacentral:lncRNA from 1 species